rnacentral:lncRNA from 1 species
AAAAUUGUAAUCCCCAUCAAACAGUUAAAUUCAUUAAGUUAUGUUAUUUUCAAAAUAUGAUGUGGCAACAUAUUGUUGUAUAUAUAAUGUCAUAUCAACUUAAUAUUUUCACAUAUUACUUAUAAAAAAUUCAACUAUAGAUUUAAAGAUUGUCGUUUACGUUAAAACUAAAAUUUCAAAAUUCAAAAAAUAUAGAGACUAAUAAUGAUAUAAUUCAAGAACAUAGACUAAAUCUACAACUUUAGGCAUAGUACAAGACUAAUAGUAAAGUUUAACCAAAUGGAUUUAACUACUACCAUUUGGUUUGGAUUGAAAUUUUAAAAUUUGAAAAGUGUAAGGACUAAAAAUUGACCAAAUUAAAGUAUAGAGACUAAAUUCACAACUUAUCAGAGUACAUGGACUAAUAGCAGAAUUUCAACGUGCUUCUCCGGAAGCAAAACGUAGAGGGAGAAACAGAGGAAUAUCCAAUACCGGAGCCCAAGUUCAGAGCAAAACUGGCAGCAAACUUUUUGUGGGCUGCGUUAGAAAUAUGUUAAAAGCAAGGAUCAAAUGAUGCUGAACCACAUUUCAAAAACAAAACAAAAAAAGAGAGCCCAAAUCUAUCUUUAUCCUUCUUCUCCGGUCCUCGUCUUUUACAUGGAAAUGAUGGCACCAAAAGAAAAUAUAUGAACCAAUAUCCCUUCUAGUAAUGUCUAUAUCUUCCUGUUAUCUGGAUACGAAUAUAUAAGACUUGGGAGGAUUCAUUUUGAGUGUCUUAAUUAUUCUACUUGACCAAAUCUAAUCAUUUUCAGACCAUUUUUUGUUGUUAG